UACGUAGGGUGCGAGCGUUGUCCGGAAUUAUUGGGCGUAAAGAGCUUGUAGGCGGUUUGUCGCGUCUGCCGUGAAAAUUCGAGGCUCAACCUCGAACUUGCGGUGGGUACGGGCAGACUAGAGUGUGGUAGGGGAGACUGGAAUUCCUGGUGUAGCGGUGAAAUGCGCAGAUAUCAGGAGGAACACCGGUGGCGAAGGCGGAUCUCUGGGCCAUUACUGACGCUGAGGAGCGAAAGCGUGGGGAGCGAACAGG
rnacentral:rRNA from 1 species